AUUGAACGCUGGCGGCAGGCCUAACACAUGCAAGUCGAGCGGCAGCGGAAAGUAGCUUGCUACUUUGCCGGCGAGCGGCGGACGGGUGAGUAAUGUCUGGGGAUCUGCCUGAUGGAGGGGGAUAACUACUGGAAACGGUAGCUAAUACCGCAUAACGUUGCAAGACCAAAGUGGGGGACCUUCGGGCCUCACGCCAUCGGAUGAACCCAGAAGGGAUUAGCUAGUAGGUGGGGUAAUGGCUCACCUAGGCGACGAUCCCUAGCUGGUCUGAGAGGAUGACCAGCCACACUGGGACUGAGACACGGCCCAGACUCCUACGGGAGGCAGCAGUGGGGAAUAUUGCACAAGGGGCGCAAGCCUGAUGCAGCCAUGCCGCGUGUGUGAAGAAGGCCUUCGGGUUGUAAAGCACUUUCAGCGAGGAGGAAGGGUGGUGUGUUAAUAGCACACGACAUUGACGUUACUCGCAGAAGAAGCACCGGCUAACUACGUGCCAGCAGCCGCCGUAA
rnacentral:rRNA from 1 species